GACGAACGCUGGCGGCGUGCUUAACACAUGCAAGUCGAACGCUGAAGCUCAGCUUUUGUUGGGUGGAUGAGUGGCGAACGGGUGAGUAACACGUGAGUAACCUGCCUCCUUCUUUGGGAUAACGCCCGGAAACGGGUGCUAAUACUGGAUAUUCACUGGUCUUCGCAUGGGGGUUGGUGGAAAGGGUUUUUCUGGUGGGGGAUGGGCUCGCGGCCUAUCAGCUUGUUGGUGGGGUGAUGGCCUACCAAGGCUUUGACGGGUAGCCGGCCUGAGAGGGUGACCGGUCACAUUGGGACUGAGAUACGGCCCAGACUCCUACGGGAGGCAGCAGUGGGGAAUAUUGCACAAUGGGUGCAAGCCUGAUGCAGCGACGCCGCGUGAGGGAUGGAGGCCUUCGGGUUGUGAACCUCUUUCGCUCAUGGUCAAGCCGCAACAAUGGUUGUGGUGAGGGUAGUGGGUAAAGAAGCGCCGGCUAACUACGUG
rnacentral:rRNA from 1 species